rnacentral:rRNA from 1 species
UACGUAGGGGGCGAGCGUUGUCCGGAUUUAUUGGGCGUAAAGAGCGUGUAGGCGGUUUGGUAGGUCCGUUGUGAAAACUCGAGGCUCAACCUCGAGACGCCGAUGGAAACCAUCAGACUAGAGUCCGGAAGAGGAGAGUGGAAUUCCUGGUGUAGCGGUAAAAUGCGCAGAUAUCAGGAAGAACACCCGUGGCUAAGGCGGCUCUCUAGUACGGUACUGACGCUGAGACGCGAAAGCGUGGGGAGCGAACAGG